rnacentral:rRNA from 1 species
GAUGAACGCUGGCGGCGUGCCUAAUACAUGCAAGUCGAGCGAACAGAUAAGGAGCUUUCUCCUUUUACGUUUUCGGCUGACGGGUGAUUAACACGUUUGUAACCUACCUUUAUUACUUGUAUAACUCCGGGAAACCUUGUCUCAUCCCGGAUAUCAUUUAGAACCUCUUGGUUCUUAAGUGUAUUUUGUUUUUUCUUUCUCUUAUAGAUUUACCCGCGCCGUAUUAUCUAGUUGGUAAGUUAACGCCUUACCAAGGCAACGAUACGUAGCCGACCUGAGAGGGUGAUCGGACACACUGGAAGUGAGACACGGACCAGACUACUACGGGAGGCAGCAGAAGGGAAUAUUCCGCAAAGGGCGAAAGCCUGACGGAGCAACGCCGCGUGAGUGAUGAAGGUCUACGGAUCGUAAAACUCUGUUAUUAGGGAAGAAAAAAUGUGUAAGUAACAGUGCACGUAAUGACGGUACCUAAACAGAAAGCCACGGCUAACUACGUG